UGAGUCACACGAGUUACAAUAAGUUCAUCAUUUCACUUUCAUAGGUUGAGUGGGAUUGGUGGACAGGUUUGUAAAAGAGGAAGAGGCAUGAAAAGCACCUUACUGAACACAACAGCAGCAGAGAGUGUGACAGUGUGAGCUGUAGGUAAACUUGGAGUGAUGGGAGCAGCCGGGAUCUCAUGAUGGAGAACAACUGUGACCGUCAUCAUCACAGCAAUACAAAUCCCAGCUCUGAUCAGUGUCAGCGUCAGAACCGUGACCGGUGUGGAGGGUCAGACGUUCAGCUUCACAUGUGAAUACCCACAGAGCUGGCAGAGCAACGCCAAGUACCUCUGCCGUGAGGACGACAAUGACAAUCUACUGAUACAUAGAUAGAGAGAGAGCAGCAAAGCCUCCAACAAAUCGGACUCAUCACAUAAAUGAAGUAUCCACAACAACCAAAGACAUAAAAGUGGACAACAUCAGGAGACUAUGAGACAAUGACGCCUGGUGAGGGAACUGAACCUGAACCCCGCUGCACCUGUUCAUCUUCGGACUGUGCUGCUCUCUCAGCUCCACCGCUGCCACCUCCUGACCUCUGCCCCCACUCAAUGUCAAAGAACCGGGAAUCCACUGUCAGUCUUGGCGAAUAUGCUGAAGUGGAUGUACGAGGCCACGUCUGCCAGUACCAACAUCUGGAUCUCAGCCAGUUGGAGGAUCAUGUUUAUCACGCGCUCUGUGGUCCCAAAGAUGGACCCAUGCAGAUGAACUGUUGAUACCACUCAGUUUAUUUACAACUUGGGUCUUGUUUCUAAAUAUUUAGACAGCACCUCAAAUCGUCAAUUAUAACCUCCUACUUUCUGAGAUACCUUCGUGCUAAUAGAAUAUUAAUAAUAUUAUGGCCAAAACACAAAUGUUUUAUAUGUUUUGAAUGAA